rnacentral:lncRNA from 1 species
CUUCCAGUAGAAAAAUCGAAUCAAAGCAAAUGCAAAAAUGAAACAAUUUUAUAGGAAUGCUGUAUAACUGUUGGGAAAAUAUAUUUCUAUCAUAGUAUUAAUUAAUUUUGGUUGAUUUUAACGGUAACGCAUGUUACGUAACGUUUUCUCUCGGAGUCUUUGAAAAUCAACCAUUAAGUCACACAAAUGUGUCUGUAGUCGCCCUUGCAUUAUCUAAAUCUUAUUAUACCUCCAUAUCAUUUGAUUGCACGUAUUUAUAAACAUAUAUCUGCAAAUUUGAUAUAAAUAAUCCGAAACAAAAUAUUUGAAGCAAGGGGAAAAUAUAACAUAUGACGUAUUUUUAAUUGUUUAGAAAGUCCCAUGAUGAGCUGUACAUUAAAAUUGACGAAGCCUAUGGUCUCCUGUUAGUUUGAAAGCCGACCAACCGC